rnacentral:rRNA from 1 species
UAGUCCACGCUGUAAACGAUGGAUACUAGGUGUAGGAGGUAUCGACCCCUUCUGUGCCGGAGUUAACACAUUAAGUAUCCCACCUGGGGAGUACGGCCGCAAGGCUGAAACUCAAAGGAAUUGACGGGGGCCCGCACAAGCAGUGGAGCAUGUGGUUUAAUUCGAAGCAACGCGAAGAACCUUACCAGGGCUUGACAUCCCUUGAUCACCUUAGAGAUAAGGUUUCCCUUCGGGGCAAGGUGACAGGUGGUGCAUGGUUGUCGUCAGCUCGUGUCGUGAGAUGUUGGGUUAAGUCCCGCAACGAGCGCAACCCUUGUCUUUAGUUGCCAGCACGUAAUGGUGGGAACUCUAAGGAGACUGCCGGUGACAAACCGGAGGAAGGUGGGGAUGGACGUCAAGUCAUCAUGGCCCUUAUGGGGCUGGGGCUACACACGUGCUACAAUGGGGCU